CUCCUGACCUCGUGAUCCACCCUCCUCGGCCUCCCAAAGUGCUGGGAUUACAGGCGUGACCCACUGUGCCCGGUUGAGAUUUCUAUGCCUCUUUACCCUCUCUGCCCUGAAACUUUUUGUAGUACAAAUCAUACAAAGUCAUAAGUGGGGAUGUCACAAUUUACCCCGUCAGGGAAAGCAGACAUUUACAAGUACUUAAAAUAAAAUGAGAAUGUUAUAAGGGAAGAAACUCAUGUGAGGGGACUUGGUUGCUUAAAGAUCAGGAAUGUCUCUGAAGUAAUGACAUCUAAGCUGGGAACUGAAGGAUCACCAGGAAUUAGACCAAUGGGAAUGUGGGUGGGUAUUCCAGGCAGAAAGUAGGAUACAUUUGAAAGUACAGAGGUGAGGCCCUCAGGGAAAGUCGUGGAGCUAAGAGAGAUUUGGACCAUAUGUGGAGAGGAAGAGAGGAAGGACAUGAAGUUAGAGGGUCUAGGGACUUCUCUGCAGGGUGGAUUAAGGGAUCAAGGGACACACAGAGCCAGGGAUACUAAUGAUGUUAGUAGACAGCAAGAGAUCUUGGAAGGAACCUGGGAAGGGGCAGUCAGAAAUGCAGAAUAAAAACCAGAAAUGAGUAAUGACAUACAAGACAACUAGUGAGGGAAAAUUCACUUUGUGAAAAGGGCCAACAAUGUGUCAACUACAGCAAGGAAGUCAAGGCUGAAAAGGCUAAAAAGUGGCUGUGGGAUCAAUUAAUGAAGGCAGCGUUGAGGCCUUGGUGAGCACAGUUGUGAGAGAAGAGGUAGAAACCAAAUCGUAGCAGUGGAAAAACAAAUGAAGCUUGAAGAACAGAAGGUGUUUUAAAGAAAGCUGUCUGUUGGGAAGUGAAGGAAGGUGACGUUCCUACAAAAAGAGAAGUACACCAUAACGUUGGUAUGAGUGAAAUCAUUCAUUUUUCACUGAACGCUUACUUCAUGCUGGGACCUAAGCAACAACUGUGGCGACAAUGGACUUAUUGAGAACGUUGAUUAGAUGACCAAAAGUGCCCGGCCCUUUGCCAAGUGUGAUAGAAAACAGGGAGAAGGUAUCAUCAUCGUUUCACAGAUGCCUACAUUCCAAAGGAUCUCAUCAGAGCAUAAGAGCUCUUCCAGCUGUUGUUUAUCCAUGAAUUAUUAUUGCAAUGCUUAACCGGAGAUAGAAACUCACCAUGAGCGUAUCAACCUUUCCUCUUCAGAAGUUUCACUUCAGUUUGAAAGAAAACGCAACUGGUGAAACAAUUGCUGUGUGUCAUAAAUUAUAGGUAUCUGACAUUCAUUACAAGGAAAGCAACAGUCAAAUAUCAUGGGACUCAUAUUUAUUUAUGUCUAUAUUAUCUGUAGAUAUUAUAGAUAAUAUAUAUGUAUACUUUGACAGAGAAGGAAGAACACCACUCUGGAGUGUUUAAUCUACCAUAGUUUGAUACUGUCUUUCUUGUUUGUGCCAAUUUGAAUUACUUGGUUCUGUUUUUUGGUUAUCUGCAAUUAGUGUGCUAUUUAUUUCCAGAAUAGAGGAAACUGAAGCUUACUCUGUGUACACAAAAGAAUACUGUACCCAUUCAGUCAUGUACAAAUAGAGUUAUCUCAUGGAAAA
rnacentral:lncRNA from 1 species